ensembl:lncRNA
AGAGCCUCACUAUCUUCCUGGAGACCUUAGAGGGAGUUCAAUCGGUCAUCCCUAAGGACAAGUUUCUGGCCAUCACCAGUGCCAUGUUCUACCAGCUCUCUGAUGACACCAAGGAGCACAGCGAGGCUGACAGAGCAGAGCUGGCCCACUGCAUCCUGCUGCAGGCCCGGAUCUGCCCCGAGGAAACGGUCCUGUUUCUGCAGUCUCAGCUGGGCGCUGACAGGGAGGCUGGAUGCGUGGCAGCCCUGGGUCUGCUCGGUGCUCUGGCUCGCUCUGAUGAGCCCGUGAUGUCAAAGAAGCUGCCCCAGGUUUUGGAGGCUGUACAGUGUCUGUGCAGUGACCCCAGGACCCAGGUGAGGAGGGCCAUUCUGCACUUCAUCAAGGAUGUGCUCAGUGCCAACACCCGGAGCUGCUCAGCCUGGGAUGAGGUGGGGCACAUCUUCAGUGAGUUCAGCCACAUCACGAGAAGAAGGGCAGCUGGAGACCUUUCUGCCCAGGAAGCCCGGGAAGAAGGAGCUCUCCAAGAGCUGUGUAUGGAC